rnacentral:rRNA from 1 species
UACGAAGGGGGCUAGCGUUGCUCGGAUUUACUGGGCGUAAAGGGCGCGUAGGCGGAUGUUUAAGUCGGGGGUGAAAGCCCAGGGCUCAACCCUGGAAUUGCCUUCGAUACUGGACAUCUUGAGUACGGGAGAGGUGAGUGGAACUCCGAGUGUAGAGGUGAAAUUCGUAGAUAUUCGGAAGAACACCAGUGGCGAAGGCGACUCACUGGCCCGUUACUGACGCUGAGGCGCGAAAGCGUGGGGAGCGAAUGGG